rnacentral:rRNA from 1 species
AUGGGGAGGCGGCGAGUUAGUAGCAGUAGGUGGCAAAGUGGCUUUGUUACCUAUUUCAUUAGGAACCGCAGAUUUUUUAGUCCAUCACAUUCAUGCAUUUACCAUACAUGUGACUGUAUUAAUACUUUUGAAAGGUGUUUUAUUUGCUCGGAGUUCCCGUUUGAUACCCAUAAAGCAAAUCUAGGUUUUCGCUUUCCUUGCGAUGGGCCUGGCCGAGGGGGAACAUGUCAAGUAUCCACCUGGGAUCAUGUUUUCUUAGGUUUAUUCUGGAUGUACAAUGCAAUUUCGGUAGUCAUUUUCCAUUUCAGUUGGAAAAUGCAGUCGGAUGUUUGGGGUACUAUAAGUGAUCAAGGGGUGGUAACUCAUAUUACAGGGGGAAACUUUGCACAGAGUUCCAUUACGAUUAAUGGGUGGCUUCGAGAUUUCUUGUGGGCACAGGCAUCGCAAGUCAUUCAGUCUUAUGGUUCUUCAUUAUCUGCAUAUGGUCUUUUUUUCUUAGGUGCUCAUUUUGUCUGGGCAUUCAGUUUAAUGUUUUUAUUCAGCGGCCGUGGUUAUUGGCAAGAACUCAUUGAAUCUAUCGUUUGGGCUCAUAACAAAUUAAAAGUUGCUCCUGCUACUCAGCCUAGAGCCUUGAGCAUUAUACAAGGACGCGCUGUAGGAGUAACCCAUUACCUUAUGGGUGGAAUUGCCACGACAUGGGCAUUCUUCUUAGCGAGAAUUUUUGCAGUAGGAUAG